CCUAGCUAGGCCGGCCACCCCUAUCCCUAUAAAUAGAUUCCCAUUUUCACCAAAAGAUCAUUCCAAUUCUCUUACAAAAAAUCCCAAAUACUCUAAACACUAUUUCUCUCUAAAAUUCUAACUUUGGCAUCGGAGGUUCUUCGGCCAAAGCCCCCCCUAUUCAUCGUGGGCGCGUGAGGCUUUUGGCCUUAACCUAAGGUGCUAGUUGUUUUGUAGGUGCAAAAUCGUCCAAGAUCGAGGAGGAGAAAAUUUGCAUCCACACUCAUCAUACCUUAAAUAUAGCUACAAGGGGGCCUAAAUAUAUAUUUCUAGAAGCUAUUUCUAGAAGCAUUCCCUUCUAGAAGUCUUAAUUUCUGCCACAAAACACCUUGUUUCUAGAAACCUUACAAAAGUGGUGCCUAUUCCCUUCUAGAAGGCUUUUGCCUUGCCUUGAACUCAACUCCCUUUCCCUCCAAUUCUUGCCGCACCUCUACUCACCCAAUUCCCUAUGGAUUCUGAUUUAAUUAGCAUUUUUCCUUGUGGAUUUGGGUUAUGCAAAUCCUUUUCAGAAAUUAAUUGGGCCAAACCUUUUUCCUGGUGGAUUUAAACCUUUGUGCCGCACCCUAGGGCCCUAAUUCUCUAUUCAUGCUGAUUUCUGACUGAUGUGAAAAAUAAGUUAACACACAAAAUUAAACCCUCUUUUUAUCAAUUGUAGCAAAGUAUGUAAAUAGGGA
rnacentral:lncRNA from 1 species